rnacentral:rRNA from 1 species
GCGAACGGGUGAGUAAUAUAUCGGAACGUACCCUAGGGUGGGGGAUAACGUAGCGAAAGUUACGCUAAUACCGCAUACGCUCUACGGAGGAAAGCAGGGGACCGCAAGGCCUUGCGCCUCAUGGGAGCGGCCGAUAUCGGAUUAGCUUGUUGGUGGGGUAAAAGCCUACCAAGGCGACGAUCCGUAGCUGGUCUGAGAGGACGACCAGCCACACUGGGACUGAGACACGGCCCAGACUCCUACGGGAGGCAGCAGUGGGGAAUCUUGCACAAUGGGGGCAACCCUGAUGCAGCGACGCCGCGUGAGCGAUGAAGCCCCUCGGGGUGUAAAGCUCUUUCGGCAGGGAAGAUUAUGACGGUACCUGCAGAAGCAGCUGCGGUAACUACGUGCCAGCAGCCGCGGUAAUACGUAGGCAGCAAGCGUUGUCGGAGUUACUGGGCGUAAAGGGUGUGUAGGCGGUUGCCUAAGUUUGGUGUGAAAUCUCCCGGGUUAACCGGGAGGGUGCGCCGAAAACUGGGUGACUAGAGUAUGGGAUGGGUAAGUGGAAUUCCUGGUGUAGCGGUGAAAUG